rnacentral:rRNA from 1 species
GACGAACGCUGGCGGUAUGCUUAACACAUGCAAGUCGAACGGACUUAUUAGAGCUUGCUUUAAUAAGUUAGUGGCAAACGGGUGAGUAACACGUGGGAAUCUACCCAUCAGUACGGAAUAACAUUUGGAAACAAAUGCUAAUACCGUAUAUUCUCUACGGAGGAAAGAUUUAUCGCUGAUGGAUGAGCCCGCGUUAGAUUAGGUAGUUGGUAGGGUAAUGGCCUACCAAGCCGACGAUCUAUAGCUGGUCUGAGAGGAUGAUCAGCCACACUGGGACUGAGACACGGCCCAGACUCCUACGGGAGGCAGCAGUGGGGAAUAUUGGACAAUGGGCGAAAGCCUGAUCCAGCAAUACCGCGUGAGUGAUGAAGGCCUUAGGGUU